rnacentral:rRNA from 1 species
UACGUAGGCGGAUAAAUAAGUCAGUGGUGAAAUCUUUCGGCUCAACCGGGAAACUGCCAUUGAUACUGUUUAUCUUGAGUUCGGUAGAGGUAGGCGGAAUGUGUAAUGUAGCGGUGAAAUGCUUAGAUAUUACACAGAACACCAAUUGCGUAGGCAGCUUACUACGCCGACACUGACGCUGAGGCACGAAAGCGUGGGGAGCGAACAGGAUUAGAUACCCUGGUAGUCC